ACCAAUCAGGUCUCACUUCCGCUGCACGAGUUUCGCAUGCGCGUUAAUUUCGGACGCUCUGAAUGGAAGCAGACGAGACUGGUUAACAACAACAUGUCAAAUUGACUGCAACAAUCUGUGAGAAUAGACUGUUAAUUGUCAUGAACAUAAGCUUAAAGAGUGGACCGAUAUUUCUACUAAUAACACUCUACAAAGACGAUUCGGGGAAAUUUUAUUUGUGAUGUUCAUUGAAAAUUCUACACAGGAAGAAACGAUUUUCAACGUGAUUUCCCAGCCUGCUCUGGUAUUUGAAAAAAAUUGUGAAACAAUAUACUAAGUGUCUGAAUACAAGCUGGGCUGUUAUGCAUACUAGCAGCCCAAGAACAAUAUUAUGAUCCCAUUCUGACAGGAAUGCUGCACUCGGAUGAGGCCAGCUUGUCUGACCUGUAACCUCUGAUGACCCCUGAGUUUGGUGUUCCUUCACAUAAAAGUGUCCAUCUUUCUCAUGAAUAAGAACAGCGAUAAAAGACCCAUCAACGGAGGGAUCCCAGUGGACUGGUUUGAUGACUUGCCACAAGAUAAUGCUGCAUUCCGACCCAUUACAAGUUGAUCAUGGAUAAUGAGUCCAGAAUAAAGACUUGCGGAAUGUGUCAAAA